rnacentral:rRNA from 1 species
AUUGAACGCUAGCGGGAUGCCUUACACAUGCAAGUCGAACGGCAGCGCGGACUUCGGUCUGGCGGCGAGUGGCGAACGGGUGAGUAAUGUAUCGGAACGUGCCCAGGAGCGGGGGAUAACUACUCGAAAGAGUAGCUAAUACCGCAUACGCCCUACGGGGUAAAGGGGGGGAUCGCAAGACCACUCAAUAUUGGAGCGGCCGAUAUCGGAUUAGCUAGUUGGUGGGGUAAAGGCUCACCACGGCGACGAUCCGUAGCUGGUUUGAGAGGACGACCAGUCACACUGGGACUGAGACACGGCCCAGACUCCUACGGGAGGCAGCAGUGGGGAAUUUUGGACAAUGGGGGAAACCCUGAUCCAGCCAUUCCGCGUGUGCGAUGAAGGCCUUCGGGUUGUAAAGCACUUUUGGCAGGAAAGAAAUCGCAUCAAUUAAUACUUGGUGUGGAUGACGGUACCUGCAGAAUAAGCACCGGCUAACUACGUGCCAGCAGCCGCAGUAA